GUCCAUGUUGGCCAGGCUGGUCACGAACUCCUGAGCGCAGGUGAUCCACCUGCCUCGGCCUCCCAAAGUGCUGGGAUUACAGGCACGAGCCACCAUGCCCAGCCCAAGAUCUCCUCUUCUCUCUGUUAUGUUGCUAUUACCCGGGACACUUUAAUACCAUAAAUAUGUUUUCUAACCUUACUGAGUUAUUUGCUAAUUUAACAUCCUUAUUUUAUUUAGUGUUCCAAUUAUGAGCAUCUGUGGCUUGCAGAAUUGUGUCAACUUGCUAGAGACAGACUUUUGAUUUAGCAUUCGUUUCCAUUUUUAUGCUUAUCUGUCUUUUUUAUUUGUGUUUGCAGAAUUUUCAAUUUCUCAUCAAUCUCUCUGGGUCAUUAUUAUUGUCUUAGCAUCUCAUUGUCCAGAUUUUCAAGAAGUUAAGAAAGCUUAGUCAGAUGGUUGACUAUAUUUUGUAAAUAUAUGACUCAGCUAAUGGCUCUUUGAAAUUUACAUGGACUUUUUUUACUUAGUAGUCUUAGUCUGUGUAAUGCCAUCUUUGAGGGACUUCCAUGCACAAUCUCAUAUCAUCUCCGUAUAUUUGUUUCUAGCUGGGUAUUUGAGGCUAGAUAGACUCACAAGAUGUUUACAGAAACAAAGAUGAGUCAAAAAUCCAAAUCUCCUAAUUAGUGUAAUUUUCAAUAUAGCCCAGUCCUGUCCAGCAUCAGGAGACUUGACAGCCCCCAAACCAAAAGGGCAUCUGAAAUACAUAUUGCUCAUCCCUCCGCCUGCCUCCCCCAUGCCGAGACAGGAGCUGUGGUGAGCGUGUGGAUGGCACAGGCUCUGCGGGUGUCUGACUAGAGAGCCUCAGUUACGCGCUCUCCACCUCAUCACACAGCAGCCCCGUGUAAUAGAAAUCGCUUAUUAUGAGGGUUGGCUAAAUAAAGGCACAUUGUGACCAGUCACAAUUUCUAAAUGAAUCCUCCUGACUGAUCUGGUCCUGACACUUUCAAAGCUGCCGUUAUUACUGAACCUGAACAUGUGGAAAGGACAAGUCAAGACAGAAUGAUAAAAUUCUUGAAUGCUUUUGCUUAAAAUUAUUCAUUCUCUUGUGUGUGUGUAAAUGGGGACACACACACACACAUACACACACUCCAUAGACACUCUCGCAUACUUAAACGGUUCCCUAGGUGCACUUUUAUCAUUUUAUCUCAUCUCACUUUGGUAGUUUCCAUUGUAGUCCUUCUGUAGACUAAUUCUCUAAAUAUUUAGAAAAAUAAGAGGGUCUUUUAUCUGUGUGUAGUCGUGGAUUUUGCUGCCUCUUAAAGCAUUAUCUUUUCUAAGUCCUUAAGUGUUAGAAGUGGGAAAACCAUCUUUCUUUUAAAUUUAGCAAAUGGCACUUAUGUGCAUAUGUACUGAUGCCAUAUACACACUUACACUGUAAUAGAAACAUCGUGGAAAAGCAAACCAUAGGCUUUUAUCAUAGGCAUGAGCUUUUUCCCUCUCAUCUCCGCCUGGAAAGAUGGUUAGGAGAAUGAGAGGCCUCUCUGGAUCUGUAUUUAUAAGCCUUACUGGAAAAAAAAAGUCAAUUAUUUUUUAGACUCAGCUCACACCAUAAUAAAUGUGAAUCUAAACAAUCGCUCAAGUGCUUUCUAAGCAAUGGUUCUAUCUAUGAUCACUCAGACUUCCUUCUUUUAUUUAGUAAAAAGGUAACAAAUAAGAAUGGAGUGCCAUUUGCAUGUUUCUUAUUUUUACUCAAUAUGGAGUCCAGUGGUUGAGUAGGCUCAUCCAGUAGCAAAGAGAAGCAAACAAAAUUGAUUUCCUGUAGCCCACAGUGAUUUUCCCUAGAUUUAGAGAGCAUGUGAUUCCAAGAUGGGUGUGGGGUAAAACUCUCAAGGCUUUCCUGGCGAGAGACCCGGGCAUGCUGGUGGAGAAACCAGACAUCAUGCUUGGGAGGUUGGGGCCUCUCUCCUCCUUGAAUGAGCUCUGUUUUAGGAUGUUGUUCAUGUGAAAGUAUUGCACUUACCUCAGCAUAAAAUGUCAAGCCAUCACAUCCUUGGGAUAGAAACAAUUAAGGAAGGAUUUAUGUUUGUAAAAACAUGUGCCUAUUAAGGUAAGUAAUUAGGGCACAUGAAAGAAAGAUAAUAUGGAGAUGUAAAAAUUGGGGGUUCUGCAGUCAGACCCCCUGGAUUUAAAUCCUAGCUCCACUUGCUGAGUGACCUUGGGCUAGUCAUUGAACCUCUCUGAGCCUCAGCUUCUUUCCCUGUGAAAUGGGGAAACUAAUGGGUUUAUUGUGAGUAUUAAAUGAGUUAAUACAUGCAAAACAAUUCACACAUAGUAAGCAUGAAAUAAAUACUAAUUAUUAUCAUUGUUACGCACUAAGAAAGGAUUUUUGCAACUAAAGUGUCAAAAGAAAUGGAGAUGCUAAAGAAUUAUUUGGCUUUAAAAGAUGAAUUCCAGUACAAAAUGAGGCUGUUUAACAACCAGAUUCCAUAUUACAAUCAGAAAGUUCCAGCAGAGUACCUCAGGCUUCAUCUGGGGAACAUGUUUAAAGGUACCAAUAAUUUUUGGGUUUUUUUUUCCAAUUUUAAUAAAUGAAAUUCUCAUUCCUUUCUGUCUGUCUCUCUGUUAGCGCUAUUGCUUUAUCUUACUCUGUAGUCUGUAUUUCUCUUCCUAGUUUCUUUUUUUUUUAGAACUAGUUGUGAAUUCUUUAUUCUCUCACAUAGACAUAUGACAGUGGGGAAGGAGGGCAUGUGUGUUUCCUAAAUGUUAGCAAGAAGUCUGUCUUGCCAUCUCCAUAGAGUGGAAAAUUCAGCAAGUAGAGUCUGUUAAUGUCAUUCCCCUUCAAAUCACAUUCAAAAGUGUGCUUAAUGCACUGUGUACAUUAAUCAGACAUUUUGAUCAUGAGUAAUGGUGAUGCCUUCAGAAGUUUGGGGUGGGGGUGUGGGUUUUGUAUAUCUUGGAAGGAAUCCUAAGUCCUUGGGUGACUUCGAAGCAGUCUGUAUGGGCGCUCCUCCCACAUCCAUUGCAUCUUUGUCAGACACAUGGCCCCUAGGCUCCACUUUGUCCAUAGGCAUGGAAAGGUGAAAGUGCCUGGGAAUUAAUAUCUCUGGGGACACUCUGAAGCAAUGACUGCUGGUUAUAUGGGUAUAAAUACUCCAGCUCCCUCACCCCUUGGCUAAAGUAAUUCCAAGGCACGUACUUUGCAGUUUUCCAGAGUUACCCUGUGAGAUUCAACUGCCAUCACCCACUGUGGUAGCUGACUUAAUAAUGCAUCCUAUAUUGUGUGGCCGCCUUCCCUUCCCUGUCUAACUUCUCCCUCACUACCCAGACUCUCUGUAUCUCCCAAUACACCACUCACUUGUUCGGGGUCACUUCUGGAGUUUCCAACCCCAGAUGAUGUGCACACUUUCAGAGGUAGAAGUGAAUCUACUAAGCCUAGACUAGGUAUCAUCAAAACCACUCUGGGCUGCAAACUGGCAGGGUGCAGGCCGCAAAUUUGGCAGAGCUCUGCUUUCCCUGGGUUUGGAAUUCCACUGACUCAGAGCCUGAAUAAUCGUGGAGGCAGACCUGUCAAGGUGUUAUCUGAAGAGCUGUUGGGGAAGUGGACCAAGACCACAGCUGCCCAUUCUCUCACCCCACCUUCUUUCUGCAGAGUGGCCCAUUUGUGAUUCAGGAGAAAGAGUGCAGGAGCAGUGGUCAGCAUGCUGUGAUCGAUGAUUUCUGAGCGUGGGUGGGCCUUGACAAAUGCUCCUAUCCACUUCAUUCCCUCUUAAUAGACCCAUCAGACAGGUGCUUGUUGUUUUCCAGUGCCAACCUGGGUAAACCAGUCAUCAUGUGCCCCAGUGUGUCAAAGAAAAUGCCUGCUUCCCAGAAGGUUUCCCACUAAUGGGGAAAAGAAGGUUGAUUCACACAGCCUUUUAUUGCAAACCAAUUCAUUCUUUGGCAAUCUGAAACCAAAACUGCACAUUUAGCCAGGCAGGUCUUUUAAAAGCAUGUCCUUUACCGUACUGUCCAUUGCAGACUCCCAUCCAUAUCUUCUUUCUUGUUUUGUGUUAUCAUUUUUGUGAUGCUUUAAUACUCAAUACAUGAACUGAAGCUAUGUGGCUUCUGUAUCGCAGUGUAUUAGGAUUCCAGAAAGACAUGCAAUCCCUGAGCAGACAAUAAAUUUGAUUUUGCACAAGUGGCAUCCUUUAUACUUUGCUCAUAAGGCGAUCUCUCAAGUGUAUUUUUUUUUCUGAAACACAACACAAAUAGUCUGAUGAAGUAAAAAUGGGUUGCAUGAUGGGUUUUGUGCUCAGCAAAAAGAACUUGGACAAAGCAGCCAUGCUGAUGUUCUUAUUUACAAAGGUUGCCGUCUGGGAAAUUAAUCUCUGCUGUUGCUCAGUAAUUAGGAAAAUUUAGGACCCCUAGUGCUCCAGCAUCUUGCAUUAAAGGUUGUAUGUCAUUGGUGUUUUCAUGAGAGUUUGCUGGAUUUCUGUCAUUAAUAACAGGCAUAAGCCCAGCAAGCAGUAGAAUAUGCAUUGCAUUUAAUCAAUUUGCUAUUUGUAUUCAUUAUGCAUGUCAUCCGUUUUGAGUCAUGAAAAAUUGAAAGGCCAUUACGAAUAGAAAGAGCAUCAUGGAUUACAAAUGAUGUAACAAGAGCAUAAGCGCUAUUAAUUGGUCAAUUGUGCUUGUCGGUACAUUUAAAGUGAUUAAGGCAGAAAGAUUAGAAAGGACACGAAUGUGCUUGGGAAACAGAAGCAUAGCAACACAAGGGCUCUCCCAAGUCCUUUGUGCCCAAAUAAAUGCAGCAAAAUCCAAUGGCAUUUAUUCCAACUAAUUCAUUAAACAGAUAUUAGUUGAGCACUUACCAUGUGCUGAGUACAAGGAUUGUACUGAGUACAGCAGAAAACAAAAUAAGUGAAGCCCUUGACCUCAGGGAUUUACCUUCCAGAGGGGAGGGGGAAGUAUGAAAUGAACAAAUAGAUAUACAAUAUAAUAUAUUGUAGUAGCAGAGACCAUGAAGACCACCAGAAGCAGAGAGGAAGCCCUCUUUGGGGAAAUGACAUUUGAACAGAGGUUUAAAUGAAGAAAAUAAAAAGACAGGGGGUCCGAGCACAGUGGCUCAUGCCUGUAAUCCCAGCACUUUGGGAGGCUGAGGUGGGAAAAUCACUUGAGCCCAGGAGUUUGAGACCUGGGCAACAUGGUGAAACUAUCUCUACAAAAAUACAAAAAUUAGCCAGGCGUGGCAGUGCACACCUGUAGUCCCAGCUACUCAGGAGACUGAGGUGGGAGGAUCGCUUGAGUCCAGGAAGUCGAGGCUGCAGUGAGUCCAGAUCACGCCACUGCACUCCAGCCUAGGUGAUAGAGCGAAACCCUGUCUAAUAAAAGAAAAAUAAAAUUAAAAGGCUACAUGGAUAUCUGGGGGAAGAAUAGACUCAAUAUCCCCCACUCCCAUUCCAACACUCAAGAAGAAAAGAAAAUUCUUGCAAUUAUUUUUUUACUCAAGUGAUUUUGUGAGGCUUGACCCAAUAAUGGAAUGGCUUUGCCAAGGCUAGAGAACUCACUCAGCCGGUUUUCCCAUUACAGACCUCUUGGGUGAUAGCAAUUCUGUUAAAGUGGAAACUGAUGGCAUCAUUUGCCAUUUUUACUGUCCCCAUACAUAGUCCUUACCAUGGCAUGCAGACCCCUACGCUAUCCAGCUCCUGCCUCCCAUUUCAUACCACUCCUCCUUCUCCUGCCAAGUUCUAGCCCCUGGACUUUCUGUUGCUCACAUUUCCAGUUCGUUCCUGCCUCUGCACCCAUGCAUUUGCUGUCUCCUGCCCUCAGAAAUCCAGACCUGAGCUCCCAGGCCACAUCCUCAGAGACACCCUCCAUGACCACCAGGGUUGCACCUGCUCCCUGGCCCCUGUGAUUUGAUCCCACUACACUCAUUACUGCCUGAGUUCUGUGCUAUCUGCUUACUCGUUUCUUACCUACCUCCCAUGUUUGAUAUAAGUUCCAUGAGACUAGGCCCAGGUCACUUGAGUUCACUGCGGUAUCCCAUCACCUGGAACAGUGCCCGGUACAAAGAGGCUCAGUACGCCCAAAUCAAAUGAAUGAAUGAGUGGAUCAAUCAAUCAGCCAACCAGCCAAAAAUAAAAUGAAAAAUUGACAGUUGGGUUUCUGCUUUUGUAUUCGGUAACUAUUUUAAAAUUUUGUAUUUAGGUAGCUAUUUUUUUAAACCACAUGAAAGAAAGGGAUGUUUGUUCUGCACAGCAUUCUCUGGAGUGAUUAGGUAGCAUUGGUAUUUGUGCUUCAUGUGUCUACAAUCUAUUGCCAUGCAUUUCUAAUAACAUAAUAUUCCUUUUCAAUAUACUGACUUGUUUUUCUUUUUCUUUUCUUUUUUGUUUUUACUGGCUAAAUGCUAUAGCAUUGUCUUUGAAUAUUAGCAAAUAAUGGAACAUGGGCCAAGGGUGAACCAUGACGAAUUUGUGUUCCAGCAGCCCUGCUUCUUUAGAAUUGACAGUCUGGCUUCGUGGUUAAUUCACAGCAUCUGAGGAAUACAUCCAAAGAGGGUGAUACUGUGGCAUGAUGGUACCAGGAUUCCAAGUUCAUUCCAGGUAUGAGAGAAGGGAAAAUAAGAGAAUCUGCCUGGUAACCAUCAGGGGGAAUGAAUUAACAUGUUCUCUAAGACUAUGUUAGAAGGUCAGAGCCCAGCACAGUGGUACAUGCUGUAAUCCUAGCACUUUGGGAGGCUGAGGCAGGAGGAUCACUUGAGCCCAGGAGAUCAAGGCUGCAGUGAGACAUGAUCACGCCACUG
ensembl:lncRNA novel transcript, antisense to CBLN1